rnacentral:rRNA from 1 species
UACAGAGGGGGCAAGCGUUGUUCGGAAUUACUGGGCGUAAAGGGCGCGUAGGCGGCCUGCUAAGUCGAACGUGAAAUCCCCGAGCUCAACUCGGGAACUGCGUCCGAUACUGGCAGGCUUGAAUCCGGGAGAGGGAUGCAGAAUUCCAGGUGUAGCGGUGAAAUGCGUAGAUAUCUGGAGGAAUACCGGUGGCGAAGGCGGCAUCCUGGACCGACAUUGACGCUGAACGGCGAAAGCUAGGGGAGCAAACGGG